GUCCACGCCCUAAACGAUGUCAACUGGUUGUUGGGUCUUUACUGACUCAGUAACGAAGCUAACGCGUGAAGUUGACCGCCUGGGGGAGUACGGCCGCAAGGUUGAAACUCAAAAGGAAUUGACGGGGACCCGCACAAGCGGUGGAUGAUGUGGUUUAAUUCGAUGCAACGCGAAAAACCUUACCCACCUUUGACAUGUACGGAACCCUUUAGAGAUAGAGGGGUGCUCGAAAAGAGAGCCGUAACACAGGUGCUGCAUGGCUGUCGU
rnacentral:rRNA from 1 species